GGCUCAGGAUGAACGCUGGCGGCGUGCCUAACACAUGCAAGUCGAGCGAUUUACUUCGGUAAAGAGCGGCGGACGGGUGAGUAACGCGUGGGUAACCUGCCCUGUACACACGGAUAACAUACCGAAAGGUAUGCUAAUACGAGAUAAUAUGCUUUUAUCGCAUGGUAGAAGUAUCAAAGCUUUUGCGGUACAGGAUGGACCCGCGUCUGAUUAGCUAGUUGGUAAGGUAACGGCUUACCAAGGCGACGAUCAGUAGCCGACCUGAGAGGGUGAUCGGCCACAUUGGAACUGAGACACGGUCCAAACUCCUACGGGAGGCAGCAGUGGGGAAUAUUGCACAAUGGGCGAAAGCCUGAUGCAGCAACGCCGCGUGAGCGAUGAAGGCCUUCGGGUCGUAAAGCUCUGUCCUCAAGGAAGAUAAUGACGGUACUUGAGGAGGAAGCCCCGGCUAACUACGUGCCAGCAGCCGCGGUAAUACGUAGGGGGCUAGCGUUAUCCGGAAUUACUGGGCGUAAAGGGUGCGUAGGUGGUUUCUUAAGUCAGAGGUGAAAGGCUACGGCUCAACCGUAGUAAGCCUUUGAAACUGGGAAACUUGAGUGCAGGAGAGGAGAGUGGAAUUCCUAGUGUAGCGGUGAAAUGCGUAGAUAUUAGGAGGAACACCAGUUGCGAAGGCGGCUCUCUGGACUGUAACUGACACUGAGGCACGAAAGCGUGGGGAGCAAACAGGAUUAGAUACCCUGGUAGUCCACGCCGUAAACGAUGAGUACUAGCUGUCGGAGGUUACCCCCUUCGGUGGCGCAGCUAACGCAUUAAGUACUCCGCCUGGGAAGUACGCUCGCAAGAGUGAAACUCAAAGGAAUUGACGGAAGGGCGAAUUCU
rnacentral:rRNA from 1 species